rnacentral:lncRNA from 1 species
CCUGCAGGUCAUUCAGAGGUUGGGGCCUUGGCAGGCCUUGGCAGGCGUCGGCUCAGAGCCAUGCAGCCAGCAGGCCCCACCUCCGUGUCUGGGAGGCAGCUGCUUCCAGGGAGCCCACAUCUGAUGGUGGAUCCCUCUCUCCUUAGGCUGCUCCAGGUGUGUGCCCCCUGGUCUUGGGGGGAACUUGGGAAUCCUGCACCUGAAGAUGAAGGAUUCGGAUGAAGGACCACUUACUGAACACGUCCUCUGUGGAUCCAGGCACUUUAAAUUCAUCAUCUCCAUCCUCACAGGCACCCUGCAAGAAAUCUCCAUACUGCUUUCCACAGUGGCUGCACCAAUUUACAUUCCCACCAGCAGUGUACAAGGGUUCCCUUUUCUCCACAUCCCUUCAAUACUUGUUAUUUCUUGUCUUUUUAAUUCAAUCUUUAAGAUCCAGCUCAGCAGCUCCAGCUGGGUGGAGGCCUUCAAGCUCCUGACUACCUGUGCCCCAGAACCCUGGCUCCUCUGUGCUCCCUCAUAGCACUCGCCACAUUGGGUUCAAAUGAUCAGUUCUCCUGCCUGUCUCCUCACAGGACUGGACUCUCCUCGAGGGCGGGGCUAUCUCACUCUCAGAGUGGGUGUUCAGUGAAUGUUUGUGGGAAUGGUCUGGCUGCCCCAAAGGCUAAUUCUGUCUUUUGCUGUGUUUGUGCAGGAAUCAUGUGCAGAAACGAUUUCCUAAUGCUGCUCACACAAGGCAUAUCAGACAACUUGAAUAAAGGCCUCAGUUCUGGGCCCCACACUUGAAAAGAGACAAUGAGACAGGAUUGGGUGACCCCGCUAAAGAGCAAGCCGGGUGGUAAAGGGUCUGGACCCUCUGUCAUGUGAGGAAAAGGAGAAAGAUGGGAAUGUUCAGCAGGAAAAGAGAAGGCUUAGAUGAAGACCCAAGAGCUGUCUUUAAGCGUUUGGGAGAAUGACAGCCAGUGGUCCCUCACUAUCUGGGGGUGUGGGAGUGUCAGUACUUGAUGAAGCCCUGGACACACACACACACCCCAUUUUCACAGAGUGGGAGGCAGUACAGGGUGUGGUUAAGAGCCUGGCUUGAGGCUCCGACUCAUGAAUCAGAAUCCGGCUAGGCCUUGGGCAAGUUACUUAACCUGCUUGUCUGUUUCCUUAUCUGUGGAAUGGGGCUAACAAUAUUACCCACCCCACAGGGGAAUUAAAUGUGACAAUAUGUGAAACGGGUUUAGAACAAAGUCUGCCAUAUUCCAUAAAUGUUAGCUUAAAAAUAUCAUGGGGGCCGGCUCAGUGGCGUAGUGUUUAAGUUUGCGUGCUCUGCUUCAGUGGCCUGGGGUUUGUGGGUUGGGAUCCCAGGCGUGGACCUACACACCACUCAUCAAGUCGUGCUGUGGCGGCAUCCCACAUACAAAACAGAAGAAGAUCGACACAAGUUUUAGCUCAGUGACAAUCUCCCUCAAGCAAAAAGAGGAAGAUUGUCAACAGAUGUUAGCUCAGGAACAAUCUUCGUCACCAAAAAAAGAAAAAAAUAUAUAUAUAUCAGAGGGUGUGCUGUCACACAAAGCCUAAAGGAGUUGGCUCUGGAAGGCAGCAGACACUAGAUUCUGAAGCCCUGGACUCACUUCCCUGUGUGGGUGGAGAACCUUCGUGCAUCCCUGACCCAGAAGCAUCUGCGGGUCUGGGCCCUCCUCUUCUUCCCUCUGUAUCUGAGCCCCACACUCUCAGAGCAACCUCUGGGUAAAGAACCAGCCCACUCUGGUCCAGGCCUACCCUUAACAUGUGUGGAGGCUGCAGCAAGAGUACACGUGUCUGCCAGCAAUACGUGAAAGUUACAAACCAAGCUAAGAACUGCUAAACAAAACAUGUUCUAUCCUCAUAAGUCAACAGUCACACCUUCACAACCCGCUAGAAGUGUAGGUUCGAAUUUAGAACUCCUUGAACUUCCAUGCUGGAACAUCAUGGCACAUGGAGAGCUGGCCCUGACCCCCAGCACUUGGCAUGCACACUGCCCCUUUCUCCUUACACCCCAAGAUACAUCUCUCACUACGAGGGGGUCUCAGGCAGGUGCGUGGACCCCCAGCCACGUGGUGUGUAAGCUGUAUUUAUAGCCACAGCCCUCCAUUCCCUCCCCACUCCCCUGCAAAUGGUCGCCCCUCAGGUCUAAGGAUGCUCCCACUGCAGGCAUGGUCCACCCUCGAGAGGACAGACCAGGGGAAAGGCCAGUCAGGCCCCAUGAAUGUGCUCCAGGCUCUUUAGGCAGGGAAUUCAGGGGUCCUGGACACCCAGAGCAGGAAGGGGACAGAAGUUGCUAGUUCCCCUUGGCUCUUUGAAUCCUGGCUUUUUGAAGGUGAGGCCCCUAGGCCUGAGAGCAGCACUGUGCCUAUUAACCUGUGAAAGCCUGGAUGCCUCCACUCUAUCUGCUGCCCAGCCCACUCUGCCCAACAGGUUUAGAGUGGGAGCUGUGUUUGCCUCCAGGGAGCAUCACCUAGAAAGAGGGAAGGAGAUCUGUUUACCCCCAGGUCGGUUUAGAGAAAGACGGAAGGUGGUGACAGCUUUAAAGCGAGAAGGAGAGAAGGGCAAUGUCUGAGGCCUGCAGCCAGGAGGACGGCAGCCUGCAGAGGCCUCAGUGUUGGGAGGCCAGGCGGCUCAGGACAUCUGGUCUUCAGUGCUGGCCCUGGACCUGCUUGCCCUCAGCCCCGUUCCUCAGACUCCUUUCUGCUCUGUACGGCAGGGAGCAGGCUCUGCAGGCUGUACUCCCCAGGGUGCAGGGUCAGCAGGCUGCUGGCUGGGGGUAGCCUAGGAGGGACUUGGGUGAGAGAUUGGAGGGUAGAUGGGAGCAGAAGGAAGCACUGUAUUUCUUCCCCUCCUUCUCUGCCUUUGGUGCCAUCUCUGGCAGCUGCAUUUCUUUCCUGACCUCAGCUUCUGCUGUGGCCCCAGUUUCCUUCCAGUGACUUUGGUGCCUGGCCUUGGAGAGCCCACCUCCUCCCCUCGUCCCUUGAGCCUCAGGCAGUGGUGACUUCCUGCUGUUACUGAUCUCUGGGUUGCCUCACUGUCUACUGAUUGACUUCCUAACCUUUUCCAUCACCUGUGUAAUCAAGUCCUUGCGUUAAAUUCCUCCUGUUUUAUACCCUCAGAAAUCAGUUUUUGUUUUCUUAACACUGAAAUCAAUAUGCAUCGAGCACUGUUAUGUAUCAGUUGAUUUCAUGGACAGUCAUGUGCUGCAUAAUGACAUUUUGAUGAAUGAUGGACCACAUAUGUGACGGUGGUCCAUAAGAUUAGUACCAUAUAGCCCAAGUGUAGCACGCUAUACCAUCUAGGUUUGUGUAAGUACACUCUAUGAUGUUUGCACAACGAUGAAAUUGCCUAAUGAUGCAUUUCUCAGAGUAUGUCCCCAUCAUUAAGCAACACAUGAGUGUAUCAUCAAUUUUAGUAGUCAGACCCAAACUAAUAACAGUCAUUUAUAUAGAGAGGAAACUAAGUUUUUAAGAGGCUACAUAAUUUUCUAAGUUUACCAGCUAAUAAUGGAUAGAACAACUAGGAUUUGAGUCUAAGUUUGCUUCACUCCCAGGUCCAUUCUCUUUCCAGUAUGCCUCACUGCUUACUGGAAACACUUCUUGGACAACUGUAUUGGGAAACAUUUGAGGCUAUGUUGGAAGCCACUGGAAGGAGAGUUCUGGGGUGAGGAUGGCUUCUGGCCUCCUAAAAUUACUCCAGCAGCUCCCUCCUCAUUGCUAGGGAGCCAUAAAUAAACUCUCGUUUUAAGUAUUUUCAGAAAAUCUAAAUAGAAAGAAAUCUCACUGAGUCCACACGAGACUGCCAUUCAGACUGCUGGAAAUAGAUUUAAAUUGUUAGGCUUAAUGGAAAGCUAGGUGAGACACCAUGAUUUUUUGAGAAACAAGAAGCCAGGCUGAAAGGAAAUGCCUGCUAUAAUUAGACAAUAUUAAGACUUAAUCCAGUUAAUGCCAAUGUAAAUAAUUCCUCCCUUCCCUCUCUCUCUCUCUCUCUCUCUCUUGUCCUUCACUUCUCUUUUAAAACCUUAAACCAAUGGCUCACAGCUGAUGCUCUCGCAUCACAGGCUAGAUUGGGGUGAUUUGUUCCCAAGCAAGGAACUUGGGUCUUUUCCCAGUUCAUGGGUGAGGGGCAAGAGGGGGAGGAGAGGGUGGGAAAUUAGGUUCAUGGUACGACAUUUCUCAACUUUAAGAAUUUUUGUGUUUAAUUUUUCUUAAAAAUCACCUGAAGCACCUAGGUGGACUAGAACCUAGACUCUAGUCUGAGGGGUGAUCUGAUUUACUAUAAGUUUACUUAUGAAUGAUUGAGGGUGUGCCACAGAGUAGAGGACUCCAGUCACUCUGCCCUAAAAACAAGCUCUGGAACCGCUGUCUUCAAAAGCAUGCCAAGAUGCCCACCUGUGCACACCAUUCAGAUUCUGUUCCAGCGGGGGAUCCAUUGUGAGGUGGCCUUUGUAUAUGGACCAGGGACCCAAGUUGAUUUAUCAAACUAUUUUUGAAGCUAAGAAAGAAAUGGCAUCAUUUUUUGGGGAGCUAAUACUUCACUGCCCGCUCCUCCCCUCCCCUGCCCAACAUUAAAACAGUCAAAUCUAAACCUGGAAUAUUUAACCUGGUCAUGGUUUGCGUCUUCGAAAUAGAGGCAAACCCGAGUGCUUCCCUCCACCCACAAAUUCCAUUUAAAGUCAGAUUUCCAAACAUCUGAGGACCGUGUCUGUUCCGUGUCUCUGCGGGAUUACUAAAUUACACUUAGCUUCCUCUGAUGAGGUAUUUCCCUCCCCACACCCUGGCAAUUACUUGCCAAUUAAUACAAUCGAGUAAACACCUUAUGAACAAAUAUUAAUUUUGAAUGUCAGGUUAACAUUUUCCUCACUCUCCUCCACCUACGAUUUCCUGAAUUUUCAAGGUUUGGCCGUUCCCUCUCCCCCUCCCAUUCAGCUUAAAACUGGGCAGGGCCAGGGGUAGUGAAGAUUAUUCAUGUGGACCUCUCGCUGAAGGACGUCUGCCUACUUCCUUCCUAAAUGUAAGCAGUCAGGUCAACAAGGGCUGCAUAAAAGGCCUUACAGAUCUGAAAGCUAUCAUGUUUGUCAGCCCAGAAUUGCAGAUCUGAGUGAUGAUUAGCUCCUGGCACUAUCUGGCGUCUGCAGAAAACAAAGGCCUGAUGUUUAGGGAACUCAAAGUUCUUGAACACCUACAUUCACUCCCUCUUGCCCCCAAAGCCUCACCUGGAAGGGAGGUUAGGUGGGGGUGAGUCAGCGGCACCUGCAGGGUGCCAUCCUCCUGGAGGAACCUGCACCUGCGUCUCUGUCCUUUUUUGUCCCAAUGACGGUCUCACCUCAGCUGGAUGGAGACAACUAUGAUGACCUUCCAGCCUAGUGCUAGAGACUGGACUCCCUCUCAUACUCUCCCACUAGCUGUGUGACCCUGGACAAGUCGCUUAAUUUCCUUCCACUGCUGUCAAAUGGAUAUAAUGAUGCCUACAUUACAGGGAUGCUGACAUAGUUAACUUAGGUGAAAUAUACAAAGUGGUUAGCAUCCUGUGUUAGGUUUCUUCUCAUUUGUACAAGGGGGAUAAUAAUACCUAACAACACUAUAAUCCUACUUACACAUUGCCUACUAAGGCUUGGGCUCUGUGGAAGGUUCCAAUGAGCAAAUUUGCCUGAAUUUUUCUCAAAAUGUUUGAUUUUGAGGUUACAACUUUUGGAAUAUGAUGCCACUAAGACAUGAGUCAAAUCACAUCCGUCUUUCCUAAAGUUUGGCCUUUUGGAACCAAAGAGACAGUGAGUUGUGAAAGAGCUCUGAAAUCAAAUAUCUAUGGGAAACUCUGCAGCCUAUCGAUUCCUCUUGGAGAGUCACGUUGCACAUUAGUAUCUUAAAGCCUGUGAUUUAAAAAUAGUGUUUAGCUAUGAUUAACUAAGUGCAGAUUUAUUCGAUCAUUUAAUAUACAAGACACUUUUAUUCGUGUCAUACUGUUGAUAUCCCUGAUUCGAUGCAGCACACUUUGAGAUAUGCUAAAUUACCCUUCUCCCAAUGUAGGCUAUUCCAAGGAUUGGAUGACACCAAUUGCUGUGAUAGAUUUUAAAUUGAAUUGGAGAUCCAAAAUGGGGGUGUUGUGUGACCGUACCUUUAACUAUCAGGAAUUUUUUAAACCUAUGAUUGAAAAAGAUGACCUUCUUACAAAAGAUGGGUUCUGGAUCUUCUGGACUCAGUUACACCAGCAUCUGAGCACGUCGUUUAACCAAAAAAUAAUGCCCUUUGGGGAUGCACAUGCUUUUUAUCUAAUAUGUUUGCUACUCAGGAUAGUCAAGGCACACAGGAAAGAAGUAGAGAGACCUUUAUCCAGAUAUUCACAUGAGUAAUUUUCACCACCCUCGGCUAAAGCUGGAUUGGGAUUUUGUCUUUGUCAUCACAGCUGUGCAUAUCUUUACCCUCCAGGACUAACGCCUCCAGAGUUUCACAUCCAGCAGUAUAUGUAGGAGUGUCUAUUGUUUAUAUUGUUUAUAUUCCCUACCCACUAUGUGUAUAUUUUUUUCUUUAAUCCUCAUCACAGCCUUUCAAAGUAGGUAUUAUUGCCUUUAUCUUACAGAUGAGAAGAGGAGGCUCAAAGUGAUUAAGUUAACUUCCUUGUAGUAAGAUGUAGAACUGGGUCUCAAGGCCAGGUUGGCUGACUGAAAGGCUUGUGCUCUUUCUGAUCCUUAUAUCACCUUCACUUCUCUUCCCCAAGACGUCUGGGGCUUCCCAUGGUGGCAGAAUCUCAUACUCCACACCUUUUCUUACCUUCAUAAAAUUAUACCCAUCUUGAUGCUAUAGACUGAAUGCUUGUGUCCUCCCAAAAUUCACAUGUGGAAACCUAAUCCCAAGUGUGGUGGUAUUAGGAGGCGGAGCCUCUGGGAGGUGAUGAGGUCAUGAGGGUGGAGCCUUCAUGAAUGGGAUCAGUACUCUUGUCAAAGAGACCCCAGAGAGCUCCCUCAUCCCUUCUGCCGUUUAAGGACACAGAGAAAAGAUGGCCAUCUAUGAACCAGGAAGUGAGCCCUAACCAGACACUGAAUCUGCUGGCACCUUGAUCUUGGCCUCCAUAACUGUGAGAAAUAAAUUUCUGUUGUUUAUAAGCCACCCUAGCUCUUGCAUUUUCUUAUAGCAGCCUGAAUGGACUAAGACACUUGGUAAAGGAGGAAAACCAUCUGACCAUUUCAAUCAAUGCGUAAAAAGCAUUUGAUAAAAUUCAGCACCCAUUCAUGAUAAAAACUCUCAGCAACUAGAAACUUCCUCAACUUGAUAAAGGCCGUCUACAAAAAACCAAAAGCUCAAAUGGUGAAAGAUUAAAUGCCUUCUCCCUAAGAUCAGAAAUGAGGCAAGGAUGCCUGCUUUUACUUCUAUUCAACAUUGUACUGGCAGUCCUAGCCAUUGCAAUCAGGCAAGAAAAAGAAACAGAAGGUAUAAAGAUCAAGAAGGAACAAAUAAAACUGUCCUCAUUUGCAGAUGUUAUGAUUGUUUAUAUAUAAAAUCCCAAGGAGUCUACAAAAUAUUGAAUAGAAAUAAACAAAUUUAGUAAGGUUGUAGGAUACAAAGUUAAAAGAAAAUCAAUUGUAUUCUUAUAUACUAGCAGCAAACAGUUGGAAAAUGAAGUUUUUGAAAAGCAAUUCUGUUUACAAUAGCACCACACAACAUCAAAUAGUUAGAAAUGAAUCUAAUAAAAGAUAUCUAAGUCUUCUAUGCUGCAAACUACAAAUCAUUACUGAGAAAAAUUAAAGCAGAUAUAAUUAAAUGGAAAGCUAUACUGCGUUUAUUGAUUGGAAGACUCAAUAUUCUCCCGAAGGUGUUCCACAGAUUCAACAUAUUCUCAAUGAAAAUCCCAGGAGGAUUUUUUGUAAAGAUUGACAAGCUUAUUUUCAAAUGUAUAUGGAAAGGUAAAGGACACAGGAUAGCCAAAGCUAAUUUUAAAAAGAACAAAGCUGGAAGACUCACUCUUCCUGAGUUCAAGACUUACUAUAAAGCUACGGUAAUGAAGACAGCUUAGCAUGAGCAAAAAACUGGCAUAUAGAUCAAUGGAACAAAAGAGAGAGUCCAGAAAUACACCCACACAUAUACUAAUAGGAGGUUUUCAAUAAAGGUGCCAAAGCAAUUCAAUGGGGAAAGGAAAGUUUUCAACAAACGGUAUGAAACAACUGAAUACUAUGUAGAAAAAAAUUAACAUCAACUCUUACGUCACACCACAUACAAAAAUUAACUUGAAAUGGACCACAGACCUAAAUGUAAAGGCUAAAACUAGAAGAACACACAGGAGAAAAAUCUUUGCAACUUUGGAGUAGGCAAAGAUUUCUUAGAUAUAUCAGAUAAAUUACAAAAUAAAUUGACUUCAUCAAAAUUUAAGACUUUUGUCUUCAAAAGACACUGACAAGAAAAUGAAAUGGCAAGCCACAAACUAGAAAAAACUAUUCACUACAAAUAUAUCAGAUAAAGGAUUUGUUUCUAGACUGUAUAAAGAACUUCUACAACUAAAUUGAAAAAAGGACAACCCAAUUAAAAAUCGUCAAAAUAUUUGAACAGACACUUUAGGAAAGAAGUCAAUAUGCACAUGAAAAGAUGUUCAAAAUCAUUAGCUAUCAGAGAAAUGCAAAUUAAAACCAGAAUGAGAUAACACUAUAUCUCUAUUAAAUGGCUAAAAUUAAAAAGACUGACCAUGCUAAGUAUUGGUGAGGAUAUGGGGGCAAAUGGAAUUAUACGUUGUGGUUGGAAUGUCAAAUGGUGCAACUACUUUGGAAAAUAGUUUGACAGUCUCUUAAAAAGUUAAAUUUCCAUCUACCAAAUGACCCAGCCAUUCUGUUCCUAGGUAUUUACCCAAGAGAAAUGAAAACAUGUGUCCACAGAAGGGCUUGUACACAAAUGUUCAUAGCAGCCUUAUUUGAAAUAAUCCAAAAUGGGAAACAACCCAAAUGUCCAUUAACAGGUGAAUGCAUAAAGAAAUUGUAAUAUAUUGAUAUAACAGAAUGCUACUCAGCAAAAAUGGAACAAAGCAUUACUUCAUGCCACAACAUGGGUGAAUCUUAAAGUCAUUAUGCUGUAUAUAUACACCAUGGAAUACUACUCAGCCAUAAAAAAGACAAAAUCAUGUAGACUAUUGGUGGCAAACAUGAUGUAGUCCAUACAGAAACUGAUAUAUAAUAAUGUACACCUGAAAUUUACACAAUGUUAUAAGCCAAUAUGACUUCAAUAAAAUAAUUUUUUAAAAAAUCAUUAUGCUGUGUGAAAGAAGCCAGAUACCUCCCGCUGCAGAUCCAUACAGCAUGACUCCAUUUGUUUAAAGUUUUUAAACAUGCGUGCUAAGCUACAGUGAUAGAUAGCAGAUCAGUGGCUGCCUCAGGAUGCAGGGAGAGAAAGGGACAGGUUACACGGGGGCAUAGAGGAACCUUUGGGGAUUACGGAUAUGUGCAUUAUCUCGAUUGGAGUGAGAGUUUCAUGAGUGUAAACAUUUGCUAAAACCAUCGACUUGUGCAAUUUUAAUUUUUGUGGUUUACUGAAAGUCUGUUAUACCUUAGCAGAGUUGAAAAAAAAUUACACCUGUCCUAGGUCCACUUGUCCAGAGGGUGUUCCCAGUUCCCUAAGGGUCAGAACAUCAAUCAGUAAAUGACCAAGAGACUUUGAGAACUUAAGGAAGAGAGACCACUAAAAGGCAGGACGGGGCUAGGCCUCAAGGUUAGGCUCAUUUUCUGGUUAUAAAGGAUUCUUGGCUUGGGAGAGCAAAGGAGUGCGUAGGCAUGGCCUGAAGGAACCUUAGCAGGCAUUUGCUGUGCUCUCCUGGCGCCUGGUGAAUAAGACUUGGAGGUGCAGAGAUGCACGGGCUGCACGAAGACGCAGGUGAAUGACAUUGGGAGGUUGCAUGACCCAGAUGAUGCGACUGAAGGGCCUGAAGUCACCCAGAGGGCACUGUCUGCUGGCAGCCACCUAUCCCCACCUUGGCUGACUUCUGUUUGGCGGUUUCAUCAGUGCCUUAGAUGAGAACAUAAAUUAUCUACUUGCUAAAUAAACAUUCAGCAAAUAUCGAUUGAGUCCUACAAUGUGACAGGCACUGUGCCAGCCCCACAAGGGUAUAGAUCAUGGAGGAAUAACUGGACUACCUGGAGCAUAGACAAUAAAGAAAGGCAGUAACUCUUACAUACUCACAAAUACCCUACUCAAACGCUUGAUGUGACACCAAGAGCUUGGCAUGAGGGAAAGAACAUGAAAUUCAAGGAAGAGAAAGGAGGAACGAGUGUGGGGGGUGGAGGACAUGAGGUCAGGGAGCCGAGAGGGCUAGACGAGUCUGGCCUUGGAUGAUUCAGGCUUUGGCUCUGAGAGAAGAGCAGCAAUGGAGGAUUGAGAGCAGAGGAGUGACAUUGUCAGACGGGUGGUUUUCAUAGACUGCUCUGCACACUGGAGGGGAGAUAACGAACCAGAGGAGGCUGGUGGUCCAGGAGAGCAAGGAUGGGGCCUGCGCUGGACAAGGGUGGGGCACAGGUACACAGCUCCGAAAUGUGCUCCUCAACCCCAGCCUCAGCCCCUGUCACAGGGGCUAUAACACUAAGCUGUCUCCCAGGAGGGUGGAGGCAGGCGGUCCCCUACCCCUUGUCCCCAAAUCCACUCCUCCAGCUCAGGUUAUUCAUGUCUUGGUGUGUCACUGUGAGUAUCAUGUGUCUGAGCUUAUCUCUGAGUGCCCAAAUCUGUGCCCCUUAAAAAAGUAUAUGGAUCAGGGCUGGCUUAGUGGUGUAGUGAUUGGGUUUGUGCUCCACUUCAGCAGCCUGGGGUUCAUGGGUUUGGAUCCCUAGUGUGGACCUACACACUACUCAUCAAGCUAUGCUGUGGUGGCAUCCCACAUACAAAAAAUAGAGGAAGAUUGGCACAGAUGUUAGCUCAGGGCCAAUCUUCCUCACCAAAAAAAAAAAAAAAGUGCAUUUUGGUGUCAACAGAUCUGGCUACAAAUCUUGGCUCUGCUACUUAUUAACUAUGACCUUGGGCAGGUUUCUCAACUUUCCGGACCUCAGUUUUCUCAUCUAUACAAUGGGGAUAAAAGUAUCUAACUCACUAGGAUUAUUGUGAGGAUUAAAUGGGAUAUAUAUAUAAAGUGCUAGGUAAAAUUAGGAUUUGCCUCAAUUUUUGCCCCAAUUAGUCAGAAUGCUUUCUGGCCUUCGACUUUUGGGACACAGAGGCAAAUGACAAUAAAACUAGGAAAUAUUGGAAAUGUCAAAAAUCAAACCACCUCUGUCUCUAGGCAAUUGCAAGGCCCCGUGCAAUCACGGUGUUCACUUAGGAUGAGCAUCAUGAAACCUCGAGGUGGAGAGGUCCUCAGUGGCCCCCACAACUGAGUCGAAGAGGAGGGCAACAGUGGGGGUUCCCUCUCCUGCAUGAAGCAGGAUGUCCCAUCCUGGAGGACUCCUACUGACGGCGAUUUUGCCCUCCAAGAAACAUUCGGCAAUGUCUGGAGACAUUUGAUUGUCAUGACUUGGGGGUGCUGCUGGCAUCUGGUUGAUAGCUGCCAGGAAUGCCACUAAAUAUCCCACAACACACAGGACAGCUCCCCAGUUACCCAGUCCAAAAUGUCAAUAUUACCAAGGUUGAGAAACCCGGAGCGAGUCAGAAAGCUGGGUUCACAUUCCAGCUCUGUCAUUUAUAGCUGUGUGACUGUGGGCAAGUUACGACGAAACUUCUCUAUGCUUGUUUCCACACGUGUAAAAUGAGAAUGAUAAUAAGAGUUAAUACUCCACGAGGAUGUUGUGAGCAUUAAAUGAAUUCAUAGUAUGUACAGUGUUCAGAUCAGUGACUGGGGCACCGGGAAACCUUAUCUAGGAGCUGGGUAUCAAACCAUCGCUCAUUAGAACCAUCACCCAGAGGUCAUAGCUCUUCCCUCAGGGACAACCCCACUCCCAGAUAAGUCUUCUCUUCUCUGGGCUACACAUGCCCAUCCUCUUCAACUGACACAGCUCCCAGACAGUUUACCAUGCUGGUCUCUUUUCUGGAAGGAUUCUAGUGUGUCAAUAUUAAAAUAAGCCUCCCACGAUUAUACCCAACAAGCCUGGUGUCCUGGAAGCACAGAGGGACCACUAUACCUUCCUUGACUAGAGGAACCUCUGAUGAAUGCUGUCUAGGGGGCUGGCUUUUAACGUAAGAGCUGCGUGCUGCCAUUGGUGACUUACACUUUGACCAACCGGAACCUUAUAGCCUUUGUUCCACAGACGAGGGGUCCUAAGGUAGAGAAUGUCCUGGAAUUGUAGAGAACAUGGCUUUCUGAUGACAAAUGGUGUAUCAGAAAAGAAUUUUCCGCUUAGUCUGAAAAUUCAGUAAAAUAAAACUCUGCUUUUCUUGAGGUUAAGUGGAGUGUGAUUGAACUGGAAAGAACGUCACAGGAAAGCCAUGUCACCAAGUAGGAGACUCUGACACCUGCAUGCCUUUUUCCUCCCCUCCCCUCCCAUCCUCAGUUGGGUUAGUAGUCUGAUUCACUGUUUUUAUCAUUUCCUGAACGCCUCAGGGAAUAGCCCUCUUCUAGAAACAGGAGCCCAUAAAAGAUUCUUCCCUAACAGCUUCAUCCCACAGCAGCCUGGCGUGUGGCUAUUUGACACAUAAAGCGGGGGACCCUGCUACUGCAAAGAGCAAGGGCAAGUUCACUUCCAAACUUCCCCAAGUCUUGGGGGAGCCUACUUAAGCUGUCCUCCCAUAGAUCUCUGAGAGGAUCUGUUAAACAGUCAUGGCUUCAAUUUGGUCCAAUUAACCUCACACUGGGCUAACUUCUGCCCUUAGCUGUGUGUUGGCAGCUACUGCUGAUUCCAGGUACAGUGGCGGGCAGGUAACAGUGGAAACUAACUUGGUGUAUUAAAGGAAAAAAUGUUAACCACGUCUUCCAAGCAUGAGGAGAAAAACAACCUGGCUGAGGCAUGCUGAUCAAAAGUGCAUAAUCCACUCAGAAAUCUUCAUAAAAGCCAAAUCAAGUGGAAAUAAAGCAUGUAGCUGACGUAGAAGCGAGUGAGGCUUGCUUGUUUGUUUUAUAUCCUCAGUUGAAUGGCCAUUAUUUCCAGCUCCCUGUGAUUAUAAGUCUGGACCAAUUCCUUUCAGGUUAUAAAGUGUUUUUGUUUUUGUUUUUUUACCCAGAUUCCCUUGGGAAUCCUCCCCUUAAGUUGAUGCUUGCAGUGUAAGGCUGUCCUACCCAGCUGGGGACCACAGCCUUCCUGUGGGAGACCCAGAGGCUGCUGUUUCCUUUUCCACUCCGCACUCUCUAGCGGUGUCCUCCGUAUCCAGGACCAAGCUCUUCUUCACACGCAUUUGAAUGGUGGUUUUUAACUGAGGGCUACAGUUUGUAACUAGAUCAUGGGAAAUGGUUACCGAUGAUCCGUGCAGGCCCUGCAGAACAAGGUCCUCACGGAGCUCACGUUGUAGUAGAAGGAACUGGGAGCCAGAUUCCACACUGUGUUCCAAAGAACGCUGGGUUCCUCAGGGGGUUACGGGCAGGGAGGUGGUAGGAGGAGCUGAGCAAAUCCCAACCCCUCUUCCUGUUCAACCAGAGCACCUCCACUUUGAUGUAUCUUUAUCUUUUAAAGUUUAACACUUAUUUAGAAAAAUGCAGUUGAUCAUCAAUGAGUUUUUACGAACUGCACACACCUGUGGAACCAACCCAGAUCCCGAAACAGAACAUCCCAGGCCCCCAGAAACGCCACACUCCUUUCCAACGUUGCCGCUGAAAAGGGAGCCACUCGCCCGACUUCCAACAACAUCUCGGGGAUACAGUUUAUACAUUGGGGCCCCGUUUUUUUUUUUUUAAACUUAUUCUAAAGUAAUUACAGAUUCACGGAAAGUUGCAAAGAUAGUACAGAGAGGCACAUAGGAUUUUAUAUUCUUUUUAAAUGUUCAAAUUUUGUUUAAAAAAAGUUUAAAAACUGAGAGUGUGGUAGAUGGAUUUUGGAGUCAGGCCUCAUAGGAUGAGUCCAAGUUCUUUCCCUUACCAGCGUGUGACCCAGACAUGUCCCUUCACCGUCCUGAGCCACAGGUAAGGGUCAGAGUACUUUCCUGUGGUGGGAAGGGUUCAAGUCAAAGUGAGACGGUGGCGUGUGUACACAAAGGCUGCUCCAGGGCUCCCAGGGGAGUGAGGGAUGGAGCGGGAGCCUUCCAGCUACGUCUUGCCCAUUGGCAGCUUCGUUUGGUUUCCAGUCAACUGUCACUGAGCACUCAGUACCCCAGCUUUUCCACCCUUCCUCUGCCCCCCACGCCUGCAGCAGCAUCUCCCUCCAGCUGUUUGGGCAGGUGGGGUAUGGAGGAGUUGUAGUCUGAGCGGAAGGGCUGGGAAGGGCUGACCAAGCGGGCCCAGGAGGCCAUGUACCUCUCAGACUGCUCAGGCCAGGCCCGCCCUUGGUCCCUCACCUAUGGACUGGCCAUUAUGAAAUGAGCCCUGCUCAUGUGCCACCUGGAAAGUCCACCCCACCCCCCAUUCUGGGAGAAGGGUGUGGCUCUCUGCUCCUUAAAAGAGAAUUCCCACUGUGGAUGGGUGACAAAGGCAGCCUCAAGGAGUGUCCUUACUAAAUCUGAAGUAAUCUGACCUGCUCUCAUUAUUGGGAGGGGAGCUGAAGGCAACUCUUGGCCAGCAGACCCUGAGUCAUCCAGGGAAGACAAGCCAAGCCCAGAGAGGCUGAACCUGGGCAGACAGGUGUCCAGGGCCACCCAAGAGAUAAAAUCUGGGCAGGCUGGAUCCACCGGUGGUUAACAAUGGACAACAGCUGUGGGUCGGCUCCUAUCUACUCUGCCCACCUCGGGCUGUAGCUGCCACACCUCUGGGCCAGAGAAGGGGAUGGACAUAGAAGAAGGACUUGUUUCUCAGGUUGUCUGCCAAGUUUCAGGCUUCAAAAUGUGGCAUACACCACUGCCACCUCUGGGGACCAGAGCACGGCCCAGCCUGCCCUUUGAGGCAGCCAUGAACCUGGGAAAUGCCCCUUUUCCUUUCUUGGUGGUUAACCUUUCCAGGACAUCUUAGGGUGGCCAUCUCAAGCUAAGGUCAGGAAGCUCUGGGGCAGAAGGGGUGAAGAUGUUGCUGGUGAUGAUGAUAAUAAUAACAAUAACAGAGAUGAUGUAGGGAGGAGAAGUGAGCAAUGUGGAAAGAAGACCCGUCUUGCGUGGCAGCCUCAAGCAGCCUGGACACCCUGCUCCUAAUGAUGGAUACCACUUAUUGAAUACCUGGAUGAACCAUGCAUUGUGCUGAGUGCUUGGCAUGUAUCGUGUCAUUUAACCCUCCCCAAAACCCUAUGGAGGUCAUUAUUGUUGUCACAAUGUCCUUUAAGCAGCUUGCCUAAGGUCACGUAGCUGGUAAGUGGUGGAGCUGGAAUAUGACCCAAGUCUGUGUGGCUCCAAGCCGCUUUUCUCUUUCUCCCUCCUGUCCCUUGUCUGCCACACAGAGGAGCAAGAGCAUUCUCAACCUUCCUACCUUUCUAUUCUGGAAAGGGUUUAUUCCUAGCUAACCGGUUGCCUGUGAUGCCUGUUGAGAACGACUGACACCUGUUAAAGCGAAAGGUGUCACUCACCUCAGGGGUAUUUGUGUUUUAACAGGAGUCUGGGUGAUAGAACAGUAACCAGGGUUUCCAGAGAGCUGAGCUUCUCUACAUGAGGACGUCGGCAUAGCAGUUGCAGACACUGUCGAGUUCCUUAUCUCAUUGCUUUAUAGCAGGGCUUCUCAAAUAUCAGAGGGCAUCAGAAUCACUUGGUGGGCUUGUUCCAACCCAGAUUCCUGGGCUGCAACCCAGCGUUUCUGAUUCUGUAAAUCUAGGGGAUGGCCUGAGAAUCUGCAUUUUAAACAAUUUCCCAGACGCUGCUGUUCUGGGGACCCUACUUUGAGAACCACUGCAUUAUAGCCAUCCUGUAAGAUUAGAAAAGCAGCCGUUAUUAAUGUCCCCAUCUUUUCGAUAAAGAAAUCAAUGUGCAGGGAGGUUAGGUGACUUGUGAUUGGGUGGUAGAGUUAUCGAAAAGGAGUAGGACUUCAACCCAAGAUGUGACAUCGUGUACCCCAGACCACUACUUCUCAACCAGGUCCCUGCAGUACUGAGAUUUCUGCAAUGAUGAUCCCCCCAAAUUAUAUGAACCUCUACUGGGUCAUCUGGGGGACCACCAAGACCUGAGUGCCACCUGGCUCUUCAGGGCCUGCGGCUGCCUUUGUGUCUGUGAAGGCAUUCCCCCUGGUGGGGUGGAAGACCUGGGCCUGCCCAGAGCAUGCGCAGGGGAAGCCAGCCACACUCAAAAGUCCACACUCACGUGCAGGCAGGCAUAUCGCACAUCCGUGUCUUUACCUUGUUUUUGUCUAACAGCCUGCAGCAAGAAUUAGCCAGCAAGCCAUGAACCUUAUCUUCAAGUGGAAAAGGCAGAGGUCUUAGGUGACUGCAGUUAGAGCUGGCUUCAAGGCUUCCACGGCUGUUCCCCGCAAAGCUUUGGUUAAGUAGGAGACUGAGGAUCUUAAAGUGGUAAAAAAGCAUUGCAGUUAUCAAUGCUGUUUCCCACAAGUUUCUGGUGCCUGGGCAUCCUCUGCUAAUAGUAUUCCGAAGGCCAAAUGCAGGACCAAAUGCAGACCCAUGCUACACCUGCCAUUUAAUCCAGCAUGGCAGUUUAGUUUCAGCAAAACCAGACACUUACCUAAGCACCAUAAAGUUUAAGGAAUUUUUAUUAAACUUCAAGUCUAGUUUAUGUUUUGUUUGGACAUAGUCAAGAAACAUAGUAAAAACAAUUUAAAUCCAUACUAAGAGGCUUGAGGGAUUGUUGUUGUUUAUUUAAACAGUGAGACAUAUUUCUUAGGUUUAAGAAAAGCUGCUCUAUUUAUGUUGCUCCCUUUAAGAUCCUAAUAAAUAUGUGCCUUACAUGGGGAUCCCUAGAGAUGGAGAAAGCAAAUCCUGCUGUGUGGAUGUCUCCCCUGCUCCCAGGGCCAUGACUUUUCUUAUAGAGGUGAAAUUGAAUUAUAAGAACAUGAUGAGGGCCGGCCAGAUGCUAUAGUGGUUAGAUUCGGCUCACUCCACUUUGGCGGCCCAGGUUUGCAGGUUCGGAUCCUGGGCACAGACCUACACCACUCACUGAGCCACGCUGUGGCGGUGACCCACAUACAAAACAGAGGAAAGAGGGGCACAGAUGUUAGCUCAGUGCCUGUCUUCCUCAAGCAAAGAGAGGAAGAUUGGCAACAGAUGUUAGCUCAGGGCCAAUCUUCCUCACCAAAAAAAAAGAGAUGAUGAUGAGAUGCUUUGGUGAAUGGAAUUAAAGAACAUAAAUAAUAGUAAAAUUGGAGUAAAAGGGUAUCCAAAAAGAAAGAAAUGUUCCCACAAAGCCCCCUGUGGCCUGGCAGGUGAAGGGCUCCUGGGCCCCAGCCUCCCAGUGGCCAGAGUCAGGGAUUUCCAGCCGGAUAGUCAAGGAGGAACUUAGAAAGUCAUCCUGGCCCAGUGCAAAGGGCGUUAGAUCUAAGGCCAGGCUUGCAGGCUCCGCUCUACCAUUGCUAGUCAUGUGACUUGAGACUCACUUAGCUUCUGAGCCUCAGUUUUAUUAUCUAUAAAAUGGGGACUGUACUCAAAGUACUCCUCCACUUUUAAAUGAAAUAAUGUAAGUGAAAGCCUAUCUAAACUGUGAAGUGCCGUACACAUAUUGGUCCUUAUGGUUGUUUUCCCAGUUUUAUUGAGAUACAAUUCACAUAACAAUGGGUAAGUUUAAGGUGUACAAUGUAGUGAUUUUCUAUAUGUAUAUAUUGCAAAAUGAUAACCACAAUAAGGUUAGUUAGCACAUCCAUCAUCUCACAUAGUUACAAUUAUUUUUUUAUGGCAAGAACUUUAAAACUACUCUCUCAUCAACUUUCAAAUAUACAACACAGUGUUGUUAACUAGAGUCACGGGCUGUACAUUCCAUCCCCAGGGCUUAUUCAUCUUAUACCCAGAAGUUUGUACCAUUUGACCCCUUCACCCAUUUCCCUCAACCCCCACCCCCACCCUUGGCAACCACUGAUCUGUCCUCUGAUUCUGGGUUUGUUUUUUUUUAGAUUCCACACGUUAGUGAGAUCACACAGUGUUUGUUUUUCUCCCUCCUUGUUGUUUUAUGUCAUUUUUUCAAGUGCUAGUUGCCCCUCCCACGGCCUUCACAGAGCAGAAACAGCCCCUCUGUCCCCACAGCCACGAAGGGUCAGUUCCAUGGAGGCCACUUUCUGGGGCUCCCUGAGGAAGGGCACAUUCCAUCUUGCUAGACCCAGGUGGGGCCUUGGAGGUCUUCUGGUCCCACCCCUCCCAUGAGAGACGAGGAAGUGAAACCAGAGACGCUGCACAUGACCUACUUAAUGCCAUAGAGGGAGUUGUGCCCCAUCCAGGAAUGUACUAUCUUGGACUACUUUUAGUAAAUUCUCUCUUUUUCUCAUUCUUCCCCUUAUACCCAAGGAUGGAAAAAGUGCCAAAUUUUCUGGAGGCUCACCAUCCCUCUGGCAGAGAGUAAAACACACAGAAGAGCCAGAGAACCCCUCCUGGGAGGAUGGAAGAUACCAGUCAGGACUCACAUAGCGUCCAGGGAUGGAGGGCAAGAUGGCAGAGGGCAAAAGGAAGGAGCCACUGGAAUGCUUCCAAGUCCUCUGAAGCUUCCCGAUGAAAGCUGAGCUUGGCAAAUGGCAGUGAGCCCUGAAGGACUUUUUCUUUCACGCUGGACUCAGGAACGUGAGCCUUAAGAUGUGUUGAAUUUAAAUAAAAAUUAUUUGGCUGGAAAUUGAAAGAAAAGUGAGUUCAAAGGAUAAACGCUUUGCAAUAUGUAGAAUAAUCCAGAGAAGUUAAGCCCAGGCAUGGCUUUAAGAGAUGAGGGUGUUUAAUUUUUUUUUUCAUUUGUAAACCAUUCCAUCAGAAAUACAUAUGUGGUGCGUGCUGCUGCAUGACAUUUUUUAAUGGUAAAUGCGUUAGCUAUUCGAACGUGUAGAUAUUUAUCAGAAACAUAAAAACAGUCCAAAGCACUAUUUUCAGAUCAUAAUACACAGUUAGAGGCCUAAAAUUAGUCUUUAAUCAGAUGUGGUCAAGUCAAGAGAUUAUUGGUAUUUAGGAGUCUAAACCAUCCUCAAGAACUGUGAAAUGUAUUAAAUCAAAAACAAUUCUCAAUCCUGGAUGUAGGUUUACAUGACUUGUGGUGACUUUUAACUUCCAGCUGAUUUAUGUUGUGAGGCAUAGAGUUCGCUCAUAGACAAUUCAAGUACUGUUCUGUGAUGGAUCCCCAAGUUUCUGGAAAUAUCGCGUCAUCUAGGUGGUCAAUCCAGUAAAACCGAGUCAUCCUCAUGGGGCAGAUGCUUGAGAAUUCGGCCAUGCCCCCAGGCUUAGACUCCGGAGGCAGCUAGAGAAACUCAUGCAUGAUUCACGUCAUUUCAUCUAUGACUCCUCGUAGAUAGUGACUUCCUUUCCACCAAAUAGCUCUGCAGUGGUUCAAAUCUGUGACUUUGUGGCUCCCAGGGCAGUUCAGGAAUGGAAAAGAAAGGCUGUUUCUGAUUCCUUUUCAAACCACAUUCCUGCGUGAAUCUGGACACGUAUACUUUCAUGUUCACAUUAGAGAAGCUCUCCUUCUCUCAGCAGCCUCAACCCGAUGCAUUCAGAUGAUUGACAUUGUCGUAAGAACGUACAACUGUGGGAGCCACAUCAGAGCACAUUAAUGCUAACAAGACCCGGAUCUGAGGAAGUCUCUUAGUAAAUCUCUCCAAGUUUCUACAACCCAGCCGUUUGCCUGCAUUAAAAUAAACUGGAGGGACACGCUCUGCUUUAACUUCUUCCAAGUGCCCCAUAAACGACCACAGUGGAGGGCAGGAGCGUGAAGGAAACUCACCACCUUAGCCGCUUCCUCCACCCCUUCAUACCUGAGAGGAGCCUGACUCACCAGGUUCCCAAGUCUUCUGAUGAGGACCCAGUAGGAAGUGGGCACACGUGCCAUCCCCAUUCACUGAAUUAACUGUUCCAUCUGCAUCAGGUGAACUCCCUUUUCCGUGUUUAGACCAAAUGUCUCAAAUUUCUCAUAGGCGAGUAGUUAGCCCCUGACUAAUUCAUAUGAACUAACUAAUUGAGUAAAUGUUAAGAUUUGCUAAAAUCCUCAGGCCUGACACAUCCUGGCAGGGGCAUGGGGGCAGGAAGGCCAAAUGCCAUCUGUUGGAUGACCCUUCCUUAAGACAGGCAAAGCAGCCAAGCUUUGCUGCAAGGUGGACACAGCCUUUGUAACUGGCUGAUGAAUGUGUCUCACUUAGAGCGCCCAGGAUCUCUGAUGGGAUGGGACAGGAAUGACAAAUCCAUCUCAUAUGACAAAUCCAAAGAGCUGCUAGUGGCAUCUUAUAGCACUUUGUUGAGAAGGAUUCUGGGGCACCGUCUAAGCUCACUAGGAAGCAGAUCUGCGAUUGAUUAGCUGAGUCUGCUGUGGGCACAGGGUGGAGGAGCAGCAGUGUCUGGCAUCCUGGGUAGGUGUACUUUAGACAAUAGCCGAGAACUCUGCUGAUCAAUUUUUCCAGCAGGGAAGCCAGAUCAAGUUUAACUUGGGCUCCAGUCUCUACGGGUUUGCCCAACAUCCAACACCAACUGAAAGAAGCUCCUUGAGGACACAUAAGAAGGAAAAAGUCAGGCCCAUCAGGGACAUGCCUUGGAUUGCUGGGGAAAUUCCUUAAGCUUUUAUAGCUUCCUCAUGCUUGUUACUUUCAUGUCAAUUCCCACAGAGGGAUUAGCAGUCAAUUCUUUAAAUUAUGGGAGAACUGAUUGCUGACUUGCUUGUCUUGAGGAAUGAGGUAGAAGGGAGGAGUUGGGGAGACUAUGCCUUGGCCAGGAGCUGGUCUUGGGGGAAGAAAAGUGCUCUUUUUGGGAGUAGCAGCACUGGAAUGGAAAGAAAAGCAGGUCAAACCCCUAGGGCCCGAGUGUCGGGAGUGUGCUGCCCACCUGGGAGAAUAGGUGAUGGAGGGGGUGGGUAGGUGAGAGCCAGGAGUCAGGCAGACCGAAGAGUAGGAGUCCUGUGUGAUUUUUUAAAACUACAUUGGGAAUCUUUUCUGACUUUUCCUCUUAAAAGAUGGUGACUAAAGGGAAAUAUUGAUAAUUUGAUUCUAUACCUGGCAAUAAAAGGAACUGACCUCCAGUUUGGGCAAAGAGGACAUCCAUGUAGGUAUGAAAAUGUCAGCUUCAGAAUUGACGACUUUGCUUUUCCUUCUGUGGAAAUCACUCCUAAAUCUGUAAAACUAUGGAAAUGGUUUGCUACAGUAUGCUAAAGAGUUUUCUUCUAGUUUAUUUUUUAUUUAGGACUAUCACAAGGGCUACACUGAUGUCUAACUUCUAAAUCACAAAAAAAGUUUAUAUUCCUGUUAAACUUGUUUUUUUUCACCAUUCUAUAUUCCUUCACAAGGCACUGGGGGCAUUGCCCAAAUAAGUCUUUUAAGGAAAUUCAGUAUAAAUUUUUUUUCACGGCCCAAAUAUUCUUUGAAGAAUGAAGAAAUACAAAAUAUGCUCAUUUUUCCUUGGAAAAUGAGCUGGGGCUAUUUUAUGAAUUGAGACUCUUAAAAUUAAAUCAUUUCAUUUGAAAGAAGCCAGAGCACAUAUUCGUUCUCGAUGCUUCCUGCCUCUUGCUGGGAUGGUGGACAUUUCCAGAGUAUUGCCGUGCCAAAGUUCUUCAAGUCUUGGUCUUUAAACCUAUUUUCCAAGCCUUCCCUCCAGUUGUUUGUGGAGAAACAUGCCUUUCAUGGUAAAUGGAAACAUGUCCAGUGUCAAGUUCCAUGCUCUUAGCUCUAAAAUUAGAAAGUAUUGGGGGUGGGGGUGCAGUGAUGAGUGUAGGCCUGGCAGUGGUUACUCAGAAACUCAAAUUAGAUGGGAUGGUACAGAUUUUGAAAUAUGUGUUUUGUUUGAUUUUUCUCAUGAAACCCAGGGACAUUUGUGAGAAGACCAAAGGGGGAUGUGCUCCCAGGGUGAGUGGAAGGAGAGAGAGCUGUGGUCCUUGGUUUACAGUUUGUAUUAAAACAGGAAGCUCCCACCCCACCCUGCAAUUCCUCCCAGCCCAAAAAUCCUCUAGUCCUCUGUUUUCUUUAUUUUUACUUCUAAAAGCAAAAUGGAAAGGGCAAUAGAUGGAUGGAUGGAUGGAUGGAUGGAUGGACAGAUGGAUAGGUAGGGGUGUGUGUUUAACUUUGAGAAAGUCCUGAAAACUUGCAGUUCUACCUCUAAACUUUUCCUGCAAAUCAACCUCCUCCUAUCUUAAUCUUCCCAGUGCACCUGUCCCUAUGACACUGAGGUGUCCUGACCUUUCUGUGUUUCUAAGCAAAACCAUGGCAGUGAGUGUCCUGGCUCCCAGCGUCACAGAGAUGGGAUGGGAGAGAGGAAGGGGGAAGUGCCCAGGCACGUUUUCCUUCUGCUGGGGCUUGGAUGUGGGUCUCUGUUCCCUUUGGCUCCAGCAGAAGGGGAGGAAGUAAGUCAAAUAGGUCCUUGUCCUUGUCCCAGGUAAUGUGAGCAGUUUUGAGCUGCCAAUCAAAGCAAAGUUUUGCCAGACCCAUUCUAUGCCUGUUCAUUUGUUUACUUCCACCUUUGUUUAGGUUUUAGCUCAUUUUACCUAAGUGUUAACUCUUAUUUUCACGUCUCCCAUGAUUGUAUAACCCUCUAGAGUUCAGGGGCCAGACUUUAUUUAUCCAAGUCUGUCUUCAGGGCUUGAUGCAGUCUAGUACAGAAGGAGCGUUCGACAAACAUUUGAAUGUGCAUAUUCUCUUUAGCACUCAGUUACUGACAUCUACUAUAUGCAAGACGCAAACCCAGCGCUGUGAGUGGGUGUGUGUGCGUGCGUGUGCGUGUGUGUGAGAAGGAGAGUUCACAGGUAACUCGUGCACCUCCACCUUGCAAGGUCAUGGUCAGGUGAGGGCGAGGAAAGGCAUGUACUGUGGUACAAGGUGAAAUGACGCCCAGUGCCCGCCGAGAGGCGCAGACGAAGGCGCACACACAUAGACGUUGUUGAGUCUCAAAAUCUGACCCAGCGCUGGGCACACAGUCAGAAUGCCGGCUGGUUAAAUUUGAAUGUUUUAAAUCCCAGAAAGACUCAUUUCUGAAUGAUGUUUCGGGUUUCUAGCCUCCAUGCUUCUAAAAUUAGCCAAACCACUCUGGAAACCACUUCUCUCUGCAGUCUUCACGGAGGGGCUCAAUAGGAUCCAACAGAUGCUCCCCCUGCCCUCCCCAGAUGCUGGGGCAGCUCCUUCCCAGCUCCCGCAGCCCCUGGGUUGGUACCCAGCAGCCACAGCUCCAGAGGCAGAGGGCUUCUAGGGAGCAACCUGACGCUCUUUGCCACAGUGGUUACUGACUGUAGUAAAACAGCUAAAACUAAUCUCAGGUGGGGCGUGAUCUUUGCUCUGGAAAACUCCAUCACUACUGUUGGUCUAUAGAGCAAAGGGCUCCAAGGACAAGAUUUCCAACCUGGCCUGCUAAGGAAAAGUGUGAGAGAAGUGGGGUGAAGGAAAAGAGGCCACAUUGACUCUCACUAAAUAAAAAAGUGAACAGGCUUGACACCCUUCUCCCCACUCCCCAUCUUCAGUCCCUCCCCUGGACACGAACCAGCCAUUAAAAUAGAAGAGGACUGGGGAGAAGGCGGUAGUGAAAAGGCUGCCAGCCUGGCCCUGGAACUCGACCUCAGAACAGCGAGGCCUUUUGAGAACCUAGAGGAAGCUAUGGACAUAUCUUCAUGCUCACCACACAUACUGUGCAUGAGCCCAGGCGUGUACACAGUUUCAGAGGCUUCCUGGGGCCCCUGAGCCCACCCACAGGCCCCUGAGCACGUCAUAAUUCCUUUGCUCCCAAUGGUUUGCCCCCACUUCACCUCCAGAAUCAACUCUGAGUUCCCAUCACAGCGCUCAAACCUCCCACGGCACGUCCCCACCUCCCCCCUCAGCCCCUUCUCCCGCUGAACCUCUGGUACAGGCACAAAGGAUCUGGGGCUCCCUGAAGGUGCAGGGCACAUCAGGCUCAGGCCUGUGUUCCUAUUGUGCUUUGUCAAUCCACGUUCAUCCCUCAACGUUCCUUUGCAAGGCCCCUAUUUCAUGAGGUCUUCCCCAGCCGUUCCAGAUAGAAGUAAUUUGUCUCUUCUCGGCAUUUUCAAAGCUCUUGGUUUUAUUACAUUCAGUGGAUGACACUGGCUAUUAUUUCACCUCUGUGUGUGUCACAUGACGUUUGUCCACACCAAUGAAGGAGAAGUUACUUGAGAGCAGCCACAUAUCUCACUUUACCAUGUAGCCCUCUUAGGGGAGAGUAUGAUGUCCGGUUUUGAGGUUUGAAGGGCGUAGGAAGUGUUGGAGAGAAUACGUGAUAAUGGCAGAGAAGCUCUUCUGCCUCAAGACUGACAGGGAUCUGGGCGGGGACGGGGCUGUAACUAGAGGCCUGGAGUCCUGCAAAGACUCGAGGAGAGACUGAGCUCUGUAUGCCCAGCAGGCCCCACUCGGCAGAGCCCCUGACCCUGACACCUUGUGCGCGGCUGAAAAGCAAAGGGAACACUCAUAGGAUGCAAGAUGGCAUGAAAUGGACUUUAAAAAAAAUUAAAAAGAUGAUUGUAAUAUACAUUCUUUGCAUGUGGCAUUGAGUAAGAAGUUUUCUGUCAAAAAGCUACCAUUGCUCAUAUUUCAUGUGAAACUCCAGCCCCUCACAGCAUUUUGACUCUUACAGUCUCCGUCUCUCUUUCUCAAACCAAAGGGUUCUUUGCUCUUCACCAAACAAUUUAGGCCUUGUUCUCAUUUUUCACUUGGGAUGGUUAAAAUGCUCUCGGGAAACAGUCCUACCAUUCAGAAAUCCCAAAUAUAUCCAUGAGCCUUUAUUAUUCUUCAAGGUUACAGGAAUUUUCCUUGGAAACUAUUUGAACUUGAGUAGAAUUUUUGCCUUUCAUGUCUCCUCUUGCUUUUAAAAUGAGUUUCCGUAAAUCAAAGUCUCUGAACUUCUCCUUAUUGUUUAUUUUGCCUCAUUUAGUCUGGCUAAAUAUUCUUUGUCAUUAAGAAACAAAAAAAAAGCGAUUUCAGGCCCUCCCCCUAAAUUUCCUUUUAACAAUUAACUGGGCAGGAUAUUACAGCGUGUCAUUUUUUACCUUCAGCAUUAAGCAAGUAUUGACAUUAAAAGAUGAAGCUAACUGAACAUAAAAAAGACAUCUUUUGGCAUCUCUUUUAACAAUCUGAACAAAACCUCGAAAGCCGUUCCAUUUUCUGGUCCCAACUUUGUAAAUUAGACCCCUGAAUAUGCCAAAUUUCACAAACUCUUUUCUCUUCAUGCCGAGAUGCUCCUCUGGAGAGAAUAAAUAUAUUGGAUGUUGCCAAUAGAGAUAAAAGCACGCCCAUUGGAGGCACUAAGGGAAGAGGCUGUUGGUCUCACUUCUCGCCUGACAUUUUGGAGUGGAAAAUGACAGUGUUGGCACCAUAGCCUCUCCCAUACGGCGAGUGUGUUGGCUCCAGAGCCACUUUCAUAUCCCAGCAAUCUGUCCUGCUUGGGCACAGCACAAGCUGUGGAGGCCCAACUUGGAACAAGUUUCUGCAGACAGGCUCCCGGCUCCAACUGGGACCCAGGAGGAGGGACUGGUCAUGGCUCUUCCUGAAAAUAAGAGCACUACCUCCCCCGAUGAGCCCUCGUGGGGCGGGUUGAAGGAACCUCUAAAGGAUGCAUAAAAAUGGAGAGACUACUCUCGUAACACUGCCUGUAAUGAAAAGGGGUGUCCAGUGGGUCCUAAAAAGCUCUGAGUGCUCUUGGUUGGUUGGGUUUGACCAGGUUUGCCGGGCAGCUCACAGAUUUGGGAUCACAUGACCUGAGGUCCUCAAACUUCCUCCUUUAGUAACUGUGCAUCCUCAGGAAUGUCAUUUAACCUCUCUGGACAUGUAAAAUGUGAAUAAUAACGUCUGCUCCACCUCCCACCAGGUCGCUGUGAAGAGUAAGAGAGUUGAUGGCUAGAAAACCAUUUGGUAAUCUGUAAAAUGCCACUGAGCGGAGCACUGUGUGGCACUAUGACCAUCGGGGGCUCUGUGCGAAGAGUCUGGGCUCUGAGAGGUACCUUGGCCUCCAGGCAACUAGCUUUUGGCCUGUGUUUACUGAGUUAUUUGGCUCCAUGUUAUUUUUCGAGGCACAUCACCUUGCCUGGUCUCACCUGUCCUCCUGCUUCACCUGGGACCUUGGCCGAACCACUCUACCCAUCUGUACCUCAGCCAUUCUCUCUGGAAAAUGAGUCUGCUACCUGACUCCACCUGUCUUAGGGAGAACCAUCAGAGCAAAUCAAGUUCAUUCACUGAGCCGGCCUUUAUUGAGGGUCUACUCUCUGGUACUUGGGGUAGAAUCAUGAAUAAAAGAAAACUCCUGCCCUAGAAGAAGGGACAGACAGUGAUCGGUCAGUUCCAGGGCAAUGCAAUUAAGUUACAGAAGAAAAAUGGGGAGCAUGUCAUGGAGGCCACCACGAACCCUGCGCUUCAAUAGCAGGAUUAGAAGGGAUCUUCUCGCCAACUUAAUUUCACUGCCACCUCUGCAAAAGAAGCUGUGUUGUGCUCGUCUUGGGAGAAAUGGUAAAAGCAGGGGCCAUUCGCCCUUCCUGCAUCCUUCUAACACACAGAGCGUCAAGGGGCGAAGUUUCUACACUUCUUACCAUGUUCUCAGGCUUAUUGUCCAGGGAGUGUCCUGAGCAGCCCAAAGUGCACCAAACACAGAUGAUGUCACAUCUGAGUGCUUUGCUAACUUGCCCACUGAAAGUUGUAUCUCACUGGGGCCAAAGUGACACUCAGCAGUUACAGCAUUUGAUAAGGUGGUGGUGAAUGAUCAACCAGCAGCACACCUGGGAGACGUCAGGAGUGGCGGGAAGUCGGCCUUCCCUGACUCACCGGCGUGGUGCCUUUUCCCAGCCACACCUCAAAGCUGAUGGUGAGCUUUCGUCUGCCUGCAGCUGAGGGAAGGAUGUCAUCAGAACUCUACACAGGGUGAGCAGGGGUCACUGCAUAGGUAACCAUAGUGACAUCCAAAUUAUACGGAAAUCCUUUCUUUCAUUCAUUCAUUCAUGCACACAUUCAUUCUUCCAUUCACUUCUAAUUAGUGUGUCAAAUGGGCUGGACUUGGUGGGAUGCAACCAAGAAAUAGCGUCUAUUUUUCUCCCUCUCUCAUCACUGCCCUUCCCACCUGCUCCAUCCGAUCUCUUCACUGGUCAACAUCUCAGGCAGAUUCCAUAACUACUCUGUCCCUUCCGGGUAUCAAUGACCUGUCCUCAUGUUAGAAUAUUAAAGAGCCCAUUCCAGAAUACACUUAAAACUUUCUCAUAAAAUUCUCACCAGAUUCAAAGCUCUUUCCUCUUCCCCCAGAUCAGGCCUGAGUCAAGCUCGAAAAAGUUGCACAGUCUGUCUUUUAUUAUUGUGUUGUCUCUUGCCUUUCAUUAGCCUCUUCUGACUCCCCAAGGUAGGGCAGAGAGUGGGGAGAAGAGGAAAGAAGCAAAAAUGUCUGUUUACUUAGCUGGGCCUGCUGUAAUCUAGCCAUCAGUGUCCUCUGAAUACAGAUGCUCAGGAAGUGGUUCUUUCUCUUGGAAGGCACUUUAGCGAGUUCCCUGGAUGUGCCCCACCCAACCCAGGCCCUGUGGCUUACAGUGCCUGCAGUUGGAACGAUGCCCUCUCUGGCUGGUUUUUAUGACUCCCCUGCAGUCCCAGUGUCAAUGGGAUACCCAACAUGGCCGCCUAAUGCCAGGUUCAGCUCUCCCUGGCAGUCAGGGACCUUGGCUGAUCCUAUCAAGAGGACUCAAGCCCAGCUUCCAUCCUCAGAGUGCACGUGGCCCACAGAAGAACUUUUCACGUAUUGUCCCAGCAAGCUCUGGAAGUGCUGGCCGCAUCGAAGAGUUUUUGUUCCCACAAGAUGGUGACAGCCAGGGCAGGCCUACAAGACCCUGCGGCUCAGCCAGCAUCCACCAGGAAGAGAGAUUUUAGUCUCUGCUCCUGGAAGAGUCCCCGACUCUCUGAGUGGUCCUCUUGGAGCCAUCCCUACUUGGCUCAAGGAUGGGGAAAGCCCUCCCUCCUCUCCUCCAAUGAGAAGAAAAGGGAAUUUGUGCACAAUACUCUUACUAGAAUUCCCUUACAAUCAAUCCAAAACCAUAUCUAUAUCCAUAUCAAUAUUUCUGUAUCUCUAGAUCAUUUUGGCCAACUCUUAAGUUAUGCAUGGAUAGAAGUUGCAUCUCUCUUUAGAAUGGGGCCACAUGUUACCCAUCUCAGCUUUGAGCAUCAGCAGAAAUUCUCAAACAACAGAAAAAUUCCAAUUUAACUUUCUGUUUACUAUUUCAUUCAUUCAUAAGAUUUAUUCAGCAAAUACUUUUCCAGAGUGUACCAUGUGCCCAGGACUGAGCCAAAGUAUACCCAGUAAGGAGCAAAACCAGCCUGGACUUGGCCCUCUUCUGCGUGGAUCCACCAAUUGCUAGCUUCUUGAAACCUUUCCAGAACACCUAAAUUUGAUUAAUUAACAUCCUAUUCACUCUGUUAUCCUGCACUGGUGGAUGGCUACAAAGACAGUUAUAACUUGGAGUUUGUGAUAAUGGCCCCACGUGCUAAAGAUCCUUUGAGUCAUCAAUGUUAACUGAAUCAUCAGGAUUGUUUUAGUGUUGAGUAUAUUUUGCUGCUAUUUGAUUCUGUAGCAACACAAACUUAGUUAUGCUUCUAUUUUAAUACUAAACAGACACAUGCUCUAAGAUAGACGUGGUUCCCUAUAAUCAGAAUAUUUGCUAAAUCUAUUAUUUGACCAGGCUGGGUUCAGAACAUUUUCCUGUUUGUUUACAGAGUAGUUCAUAGUUCAAUGAAGGGUAUGUGUGUGUGUGUGUGUGUGUGUGUGUGUGUGUGUGUGUGUGUGUGUAAGAUUUUUCUCCCAUUUUUGGAGUAUUUUCUUUUAUUAGAUUAAAUUUUCCUGGUAUUUUCCUUUUCAUCCAGAAAAUAAAAAUGCCGACUUUUCCUGGCUUAAAUGGAUGACUCGUUUAAAUAUUUAAUUUAACUUGAUUUUUUAAUGCAAAGUCACAUUUUCCUGUUUGGUUAGAGAGUAGUUCAUAAUUUAAUGAAGGGCAUAUAUGUGUGUGUGUAAGUUUUUACCCCUUUUUGCGUAUUUUCUUUUAUUAGAUUGACUUUUCCUGGUAUUUUCCCUUUUAUCCAAAAAACAAAAGUGCCAACUUUCCGGGCUUAAAUGGAUAACUCAUUGAAAUAUUUAGCUUGAUUUUUUUAAAUGCAAAGUCAUAUGUUUUUGAAACACUGCUCCUGUUCUUGGCAGCACCAAUCAAAAACAUUCAACUUAGAAUGUCUGCCUUGUUCCUGAAGUUGGAUUCUAUGUGUUUUGAUUUUGGGGGAAUUUUUUUCAUUUCAUUAAACCUCGGCGUAGAUGAAAAGUUUUGAUCUCAUGCAGGAAAAACACGAGAGAAUCUUCAUUGUUGUCAACUAUUUCAUUUAAAAAGUCUUGCAUUCUAACCCCGGUUCCCUGAUGCAAUAUAUAAAUCUCGUUAACCUUAUAAAUAUGAUUUUCCAAGAGCAAAGAACUUCUCCCUUCUUCCUUUAUUAUGUCUAAUUUGCAUACCAGCACAUAGUCCAAGUCUUGGCAGAUAAUAAUAUUUUAAAGGGCAUUGAAGUAUAAGAAUAACUACCUACUUGCAGAUGUGUUAUGAAAUAUGCCCCAUUAGUCACUUUGUAUUUGAAAGGCAGAAAAAUAGGCACCUAGCAACAGCAUGCCAUCACUCAGGCUUAGAGAAAAGCCAUCUUACAUCUAGGGGAUGUUACCCCCUCUUUUGGGGGCUGUCAGGCUAGUAUAUUUAAUCACACAAAGGAUCCUUACAAGGAGCCUCGGGUGUUGAUAGGCAUGGGGAAUGACAGUAAUGACAUCCCCCAAGGAUGGCUUUUGGCGGUGGAGGAGAUGGGCUUGUUGGGAGCCUUCCAGACAGGUUCCUAAGUCAGUCCUGCUCAGAGAGCCCCCGAGUCUCCACCUGGGAACUGUGCUUCCCCUUCUGGAAAGCCGUUCAUCCUCCCUCCCUCUCUUCCCCUCUAAGUGGAUUACUAGGAGGGGCUCCCCGGCCCCAGAACCCAGAAAUAAGGAUCCGGCACUUGACACCCAUUCAGGACCAACCUUCUCCCACCUGCCAUGGGGAAGCAUCAAAAUGCUGUGCCCACAUUAGCAUCCAAUCAGGCUGAAUUUCCAGAAGGUUCUUUCCUCACACCAGUUAGAACAAGAAAGAAGUGAUAGGAGGCAAGCUAAGGUGAUGAAGAGAAGAAGGAAGAAAUUCAAAAUCUAACAUUCAGCUGGGGAGAAAUUCCUCCAGCAACCCCUACAGGUGCUUGCAUCUGGGCCAGUGUAGGAGAGAGCCUCAGGGUCCCCCAGGCCAUUCCGCAGACAUUCGCUGAGUCCCUGUGGUGAAUUCAGGGACUCACACUGAGGCUACACAGCCUCAAGUGGUUCCCCUUCGGCAGGAGAGCUGAGCACCCAGGACAUGUCCCAGAAGCAGAAUGUUCUCUCUGUGCCAUGAGGACUUGGGAGCGGCCAGAAAUUCACUUAUGAUCAAGCCAACCCCUUGCCUUCAAGUUUUGGGCUAUGCUGGUUAAAUAGAAGGAUGUAAAGUGAGGCAGUGCAGCGGGGAUGCUCAUGGGGAAGCCCAGGGCUGGGGCGGAGAUGGACUUCCCCGUCUCCUUACAAAAUAAAAAGGAAAGAAGGAAGGGAGGGAGAGAAAGAGGACAAGGAAGACCAAAAAAGGAUACCUGUGAGAAAUAGAUGGUGGUGAUGAUCGUUCAACAUGUGAAUGUAAUUAAUACCACUGAACUGUACACUUAAAAAUGGUUAGAAUGGCGAAUUUCAUGUUAUAUAUAUUUUGCCACAGUUAAAAAAAAUAGUGUAGGGCCAGUCCUAGUGGUCUAGUGGUUAAGAUCAGUGCACUCUGCUUUGGCAGCCUGGGUUCAGUUCCUGGGCAUAGACCUACCCCACUCAUCUGUCAAUGGCCAUGCUGUGGCAGUGGCUCACAAACGAAAAGAGGAGGAUUGGCAGUGGAUGUUAUCUCACGGAAAAUCUUCCUCUGCAAAAAAAAAAAAAAAAAGUGUGAUAUCUCCAAAACCAUUGAACUGUACAUUUUAAAUGGUUGAAUUGUAUGGUACCUGAAUUUAUAUCUCAAUAAAGCUAUUUUUAAAAAAUGAUAUCCACAAGCAGUGUGUGUGUGUGUGUGUUUGCGUGUGCACGCAUGUGCGCAAGCCAGAGAGAAUGCCAAUUUCUAAGUUAAUCUACUUUGGGUGGAAAACUCGACAGAGUGAGGACUCAACAAAGGUGGGAGGAGAAAUGUAAGCUGUCUGCCCAUGGUUCGCAGGUGCCCUAGAGGAAGGGAGAAAGAAGUAAAGUGUGAUAAAUGCUAAAAUAAUAUCAUAAAUAGUACAGGCUUCACGUAUUUUUAUAAGAGGGAGGAUUCUCCAGCACAAAGUCCAUACCUGGUUCCACUUUCUGUCUGUACCUUGUUACAAAGUCAGAGGGAUGGCGGCUCUGCCUGCCGAGGCUCACGAAGGUGUGGCCGCUAAUGGUCACACUGAAGCUACUAUUUUCCCCUGGAAAUAUCUGGUGAUGUUUAGGAACGCAGCACAUGGCUUUUCUUUACACCUUGGAGCCAGAGUCCUUCUUCCUGGAGGGUCAACUCCAGUGUCAAAAGGGUGUGGUGGAGGCAAAGCUGGGUCUGGGUCAAAGACCUGCCUCCCUGCCCGGAAGACCUUGAGCAGUCAUUGGGUCAUCAGUCAUCAUCUGGGCUUCUUUGGCCAUAAAACACAGAUGCCUACACCUCCCCUGCCUUCUCCCCAAAGUAGCGUGAGAAGCAGAAUCCAAACAAGCUUACAUGUGAAGGCGCUCCGUAAACUGUGAGUCAUGGCCUUCGCGGACGUUCUUCUGGAUGCAUGUAAUAGAAACCCAAUAAAUAAGCAAAAAGGAAGGCACUGAGUUGAAAGGAUAUGAGGAAACCUCUCAGAAACCACAGGCAGGAAGUGAGGUUGGAUCCAGAAAUGGCAUCUGGAGAGCUGGGACCACAGGCAGCUCACCCCUUUGGCGCCUCUCUGCUUAUCCACCUGGUUUCAUUUCUCUCUCUCUGCAGACUGACUUCUGCUGUUCUGGCCUGCAGUGCCAAAGAUGGUCACUCCAUGGCACCUGUGAACACACACCCUCUGUUCAAGCCAGAAGUCUAGGCUUUUUCAUCAGGUCUUACUUCAAAUUAGUUCAUCCCAGGCUGGGGGUCCACUCCUUGUCCUAUGAGUCAGAAAUGCGAGCAGGGGUCGCAUGGGAUAAACUUGGCCAUCCUUCAUCCACCCUGUGGCUAUGAGCUGGGCAGGUACCAGGAGAGAUGCCAUUUAUAAACAUCAC